ensembl:lncRNA
AAAAGAGACAACGUCAUUAAUUAAAAUCCUGAUUUGAUGAGAUCAAAAUUGGAUGAGCUUGUAAUGUUAUGUGCAUUCAUUCUUUCAAUCACCUGCCCAACGAUCCACUCUCUAGGGUUCCAGCACAGCUGCUUUGAGUGAGUUCAAUUAACUCCUUACUACUUUAAAAAGGAGUCAUCAAUAGAGCGCCAAUUCAUUGAUUCACUAUGGCAAACAGCGAAUGCAGACAGUCAUCAUAUUUCACGCACCUGGAACUGGAGAUACUCUUAAAAGCAACACAGCUGCCUCUGCAAAGGCAAGACAGGAAUCAUGGGAGUCGAUUGCUACCCGAGUCAAUGCCUUGUCUACAGCAUGGUGACAAUGACUAUAGUGAUGCUGACUAUGGUGCUGGUUGUGUUCGUCUUGAUGAGGACACUGUCAGAGACGACACUUCAGGGCCUACAGAUGUAUCAACCUCGUUUGUCUUGCAUCUCUAGCAUGCCAGGACCAGCCAUCAAUGAGCACAACACAUAUGAAGACUUUGAGAUGUUAUUUAUGUUCCUGGUUCUAAUUAUACAAUGCAAGUACAAUGUCACUGUAAAGUGAAUACCAUCCCUGUUUUCCCCCAGUUACCUGUAAAGGACUUGUUUAAAGAGCACUUUUUUGAAGCAGAAAGAGAAACCAAUCUGUUAAAGAUUAUUAUAAAAAAAAAAAAAAACAUUUGGAAAUUCAUGUACUGCAACACCA